AGCUUCGUGGUCUAGAGGUAAGGACAUUUGUCUCUCAUCCUAGAGUCCCGGGUUCAAUCCGCGGUCGAGGAACUA